rnacentral:antisense_RNA from 1 species
GGAGUGGAGAACACAAUUUAAUGCAUAACAGCUCUUUUCAUCUCUCAGCAAACUAGGUCUCAGGUCUGAAGUCCACUGCCGUCAGCCUUCCCUGGUGGUGAGUUGCGGUCAGAACCUCCCCACUACUCCUCUGGGUGGCCCCACUCUUGUACCUAUUUCCCUCUCGUGGUCAUCAGGCCUCACCCAGAGAACUCCAAAAUUGUACGAGCUUCAGGCCCCACAAAACCUGGAUCCACCCUCAGAUUUUAUUUAUCUCGCUUCGUGGUGACAAAUGAACCUGCAGUUCUUGUCACUCCCCAGGUCCGACUGUACUCCCAAAUCUGUCAAGUGAAAAGUUUCAGAAAUGUUCCUUAUGACUCCCUGGAUAUUCUUAACUAAUAGGGCCUCUGUGAGAUCUGUACUACUAAAAAGUUUCACAAGUAAUUCUAAUAUUCAGCCUGGGUUGAAAACCGCCAUCCACCAUCCACGGAUGCUGUGCUUGGGGCCCGAGCUUCUCAGACGGUGGGCCAUCACUCAUUCUGAGUUGUGAAAUCAUCUUAACAGGUCCCAAUUAGCAUUGUUUUAAUAGAAUGGAAUACGUUACCAUGCAUCAUAAGGUUGGUGUGUUCGUCCCACUUUUGUUUCAAUAUCUACAAUAUAUAUAUAUAACUUAUACAUUGCCUUGGGUAGCCCAAUUCUGAAUCCUGUGGU